AUUGAACGCUGGCGGCAGGCCUAACACAUGCAAGUCGAGCGGAGCGGCGGACGGGUGAGUAAUGCCUAGGAAUCUGCCUGGUAGUGGGGGAUAACGUCCGGAAACGGGCGCUAAUACCGCAUACUAUCAGAUGAGCCUAGGUCGGAUUAGCUAGUUGGUGGGGUAAAGGCCUACCAAGGCGACGAUCCGUAACUGGUCUGAGAGGAUGAUCAGUCACACUGGAACUGAGACACGGUCCAGACUCCUACGGGAGGCAGCAGUGGGGAAUAUUGGACAAUGGGCGAAAGCCUGAUCCAGCCAUGCCGCGUGUGUGAAGAAGGUCUUCGGAUUGUAAAGCACUGUAGUUGGAGAGGCGUUAUCUACCCAAUAAGCCACGGCUAACUACGUGCCAGCAGCCGCGGUAAUAC
rnacentral:rRNA from 1 species